GGAGAGAUGGCUCAGUGGUUAAGAGCACUGGCUAUUCUUCCAGAGGACUUGGGUUCAAUUCCCAGCACCC
rnacentral:tRNA from 1 species